CUGCAGGGUGUUUCAAAUAUCCUUUUCUAGAUAUAUGUACUCCUCUAUUCAUUGGUGAAUGAAUAAGUGUGGUAAUUGGAAACAAGCUAAGCGUCCAUUGAUGGAUGAAUAGACAAAGAAGAUAAUGGUGUACACACACACACACACACACACACACACACUCCACACACACACAGUGGAGUACUACUCAGCCACAAAUAUAAAAAUCUUGCUACUUAUAACAACAUGAAUAAAUCUUAAGCGUAUUACACUAAGUAAAAUAAGACAAAUACUGCAGGAUUCUACUUACACAUAGAAUCUAAAAAACAAAACAGAACUCAGAGUCAUAGAAACAGAGAACAGGGUGCCAGAGGGUAGAGGAGUUGCAGGAGGAGUGAAAUGGGUGAAGUUGAUUAAGAAGUACAAACUUGCAGAAGCAGAUACACACAUAGAAAGAUCUUCCUUGCAGCCUGUUUGUAGAACUGGAAACAGCCCAGAUGACCGAAAUAACCGAAGAACUGCUUUAAAGUGCUGCAAUGAUUUAUGGAAACCCAAGACAAGCAGGCUUUAGGACUCUGUAUCAUCUCCCUGCUAAGAAACUGCUGCAGUCACAGAAAGGAAGAUUGAAGCCUGUAGGGAAUCCUUCAGCUGCGGACUGUGAAGUUGGGCAUCAGAAGACUAACCCCCAUUCACCACACCCUGGAGAAAUAAGCCCUUCUUGCUGGGAAAGAAACAGUCAAUCUACAUUAGGAAACACAGAGGGAGAAAGUUUGGUGAAGAGAAAGAAAACAAACUGUGAAACUCAGUUGGAGGAAGUCCAUAAAUAUUUGUUAAAUUGUGUGGAAUUUUAUGUAAGAAGAAAUAGGAACCAGAGCGAUCAUCUAUCGGAAGAAAUAUCACUCCUUAUUGUGAGAACAAUAUGUAACUCUGUUUAUUGAAAGGACCCUCGUGAAUGCCUGUUAGGAAGCUAAGUAAUGCAAGUCACUCUCUGAGCUGUCACUUCAUCAGAGGAUGCUUUGGUUGCGGAAUGGAGCAGAUGUUCUGCUACAUUUGUGUACUUUAAACACACUGAAAGCAUAAAGCCAGACUAAGAGCACUUGUUGGUGAAUGGAAGAUGCAAGUAAAGAUGAAAAGGCUAGAGCCACAGGAAGAAUGACAGCCAGCAGGUUGUGGAGACCAUUUGGCUGGAAUACAUUUAAAGGACCCAAGUGGUAAUGGUAACAAUGUCUUACACAAUAGCCAGUCCUGGGAAAGUAUAUAAAUGUUAUAUAGUAUAUAAAUGUUUAUAUGUUAUAGUAUAUAUAUAUACAGUAUAUAUAAAGUGUAUAAAUGUUUAUAUGUUAUAAAGUCCCUGGGACUUUAGAAUAUGUGAGGUAGUUUCAACCACAAUAACAAAAAGUUGUUAUGAAAAAAGUUAUUGAAGUCCUGAGAAGAACAGAAACGAAAGCAAAAUUUACUGUGAUUUUAAUUCCACGUUGUUCCGUGGCAUGAUUUACCUUCCUUACAAUAAAACAUUUCUAG
rnacentral:lncRNA from 1 species